rnacentral:rRNA from 1 species
UACGGAGGGUGCAAGCGUUAAUCGGAAUUACUGGCGUAAAGCGUGCGUAGGCGGUUCGUUAAGUCUGUUGUGAAAGCCCCGGGCUCAACCUGGGAAUGGCAAUGGAUACUGGCGAGCUAGAGUGUGUCAGAGGAUGGUGGAAUUCCCGGUGUAGCGGUGAAAUGCGUAGAGAUCGGGAGGAACAUCAGUGGCGAAGGCGGCCAUCUGGGACAACACUGACGCUGAGGCACGAAAGCGUGGGGAGCAAACAGG